GACGAACGCUGGCGGUGUGCUUCAUACAUGCAAGUCGAACGAUAAGGUCCUUCGGGAUACAUAAGUGGCGGACGGGUGAGUAACACGUAGAAAAUCUGCCUCAAGGAAGGGGACAACAGUUGGAAACGACUGCUAAUACCCUAUAUGAGCUAGGCUGAAAUGCCUAUCUUGAAAGUUCCGGCGCCUUGAGAUGAGUCUGCGUCUGAUUAGCUUGUUGGUGGGGUAAAGGCCUACCAAGGCGACGAUCAGUAGCUGGUUUGAGAGGAUGACCAGCCACAAUGGGACUGAGACCCGGCCCAUACUCCUACGGGAGGCAGCAGUAGGGAAUAUUGCACAAUGGGGGAAACCCUGAUGCAGCGACGCCGCGUGAGCGAUGAAGUAUUUCGGUAUGUAAAGCUCUAUCAGCAGGGAAGAAAAUGACGGUACCUGACUAAGAAGCACCGGCUAAAUACGUGCCAGCCGCCGCCGUAA
rnacentral:rRNA from 1 species